rnacentral:rRNA from 1 species
UACGAAGGGGGCUAGCGUUGUUCGGAAUUACUGGGCGUAAAGGGCGCGUAGGCGGCGUGUCAAGUCAGGCGUGAAAGCCCCGGGCUCAACCUGGGAACCGCGCUUGAGACUGGAGAACUAGAGUUCGGGAGAGGAUGGUGGAAUUCCCAGUGUAGAGGUGAAAUUCGUAGAUAUUGGGAAGAACACCGGUGGCGAAGGCGGCGCUCUGGACCGAGACUGACGCUGAGG